AAGUCACGAAACCGGUUGAAGAAAUUGAUAUAGGAGAGAGAGAAAAAAAAUAAUAAUGAUGGUACGCCACAGCAAGUUGCAACUGGAAGUUCUUCGGCUUUAUAAAGAAUUCUUGAGAUCCGUUCAGGAUAAACCAGGAGCAGCAUCACAGGUACGCUAUCAGUUCAAGAAGAAUGCAGCCUUGCCUAAAACUGAUGUUUUGCUUAUAGAUCAUUUGUUGAGAAAA